GAAAUUUCAUUCGCACUAGUGAUAGCUAGUUUCCUCGAAAAGAUAUAAAAGUGUCGUCGAAAAAUAUAAUUUAUAAUAUGAAUUAUUAUAUAUACAUGUAUUUUACUAAUUUUUUUGAGGAUAAGCUCAAAAAAAAGUUAAGAAUUAUUCUUAACUAAGUUUGCUAUAUAGGCUUAAAAUUGGCCGCUAUAAAAGUUUUUUAUAAAAUAGUAAUUUUAGCCUUACAGAUAAAUAUAAUUUAAACUAACUUUUUACGGGGAUAAAAACUUUAAUUAAAAAAAGUUUUAUGCCUAUGCUAGAAUGAGUAUUAAAACUUAAUUAUAGAAGUUCUAAUUUGUAUCUUCUUAAAAAAUAAUUAAAAAAAUUAAUUAAUUAGAAGGAAUUCAGCAAAUUUAGUUGUUUCGCCUGUUUAUCAAAAACAUGGCACUUUGAUUAUAUAAAUAUAAAGAGUCGGCCUGCCC
rnacentral:rRNA from 1 species